AAUCAACGCUGGCGGCGUGCCUCAGACAUGCAAGUCGAACGCGAAAGUCCCCUUCGGGGGACAAGUAGAGUGGCGCACGGGUGAGUAACACGUAGGUAAUCUACCUUCGGAUGGGGAAUAACAACCGGAAACGGUUGCUAAUACCGCAUAAUGCAGCGGCACCUAAUGGGUGACAGUUGUUAAAGCGGGGGAUCGAAAGACCUCGCGUCUGAAGAGGAGCCUGCGGCGGAUUAGCAGUUGGUAAGGUAAUGGNUUACCAAGGCGACGAUCCGUAGCCGGCCUGAGAGGGCGGUCGGCCACACUGACACUGACAUACGGGUCAGACUCCUACGGGAGGCAGCAGUCGGGAAUUUUGGG
rnacentral:rRNA from 1 species